UUUAAAGAGAGUUUGAUCCUGGCUCAGGACGAACGCUGGCGGCGUGCCUAAUACAUGCAAGUCGAACGAACGGAGGAAGAGCUUGCUCUUCCAAUGUUAGUGGCGGACGGGUGAGUAACACGUGGGCAACCUGCCUGUAAGUUGGGGAUAACUCCGGGAAACCGGGGCUAAUACCGAAUGAUAAAGUGUGGCGCAUGCCACGCUUUUGAAAGAUGGUUUCGGCUAUCG
rnacentral:rRNA from 1 species